CUCACUCCUCUGCCCUUCUCCCCACGUGCACUUUCUACUUCACUCUUCCUCUUGGCCUUUUUGCUUCCCCUUUGCUGCAUUUUUUUCACUUCCUUCCCUCCUAGCCUACUGAUUUUUUUCUCACCAACAGGUUAUCUCAAAGCCAGAAUUAGGCCUAAGACUUGAGGAAAGGAAAUUGACCUCUGAACUGGUGACUGAAGAGUCAGCUCCAGCCAGCCUCCGUCUAGGCUGCAAAGAGUGUGGGGCUCCCUAAGGGGAGUUGAAGGAAGCGCAGCCCUUUCUGCCUCAGGACCUUUACACUUACUGCUCAUGCAGAUUCCACUCUCUUCCUAUCCUGCAUAUCUGACUCCUUCUCAUCCUGUGGGUCUCAACAUGCAUGUCCCCUCCUCAGAGAGACCACUUCUCCCUGACUACAGUUGACAGCUCCCUGUUGAUCUCCUUCAGAGCUCUUGUCUCUACCUGGGUGUCCCUUGUGGAGGUCCUCGUUUAUUUCCUGUCCUCAGUGGCAGAGUUCCCCAGGUGCCGGGACAGCAGCAGGCAUGCCCAGAAGGGGAAAGCCAAGGUCCCUCGGCCACCUUCCUGGAGAGCUGCAGACGGCCCUGACUGGGAGCCUAGGCCCAUUCUGGCCCUGAAGGAGCAGUUGCUGCCAUCCAAGCUGGCUGGGUCUCCCUGAGGUGCUGGCCCGUGUCCUUGCGCAGCCCUCUGAGUCUUCACUGUGUCUCGGUGGGCGCCGGCACUGUUGGGAAACCCGGAGCUCUUCCUGAAGCCGCCUUCUUCCUCAGAGGCCCUCACCCUGCCCCCUGUGGCAGGAGCCCCAUCUCCGGGCUAAGGAGGGGUGGCUAGGGCGCCGCCCUCAGUGAGUAGCCUGAAGCUGCAGGCAUGGUUACGACCUCGGUCUGAGCACCUGGCCACUUUGCUGAGUGCCUGUGGAGCCCCCACGCCUCCUGUGAUGUUCAUGCCACAGGUCCCAGCCCAGCCACUGGCCUUUUGGGUGACCGUGGGUAAGGGAUAGCACCUUUCUGAGCCUUGAUUUCCUUGUCUGUAAAAUGGGGAUAAUUAGUUCCUCUCCCAGAGGGACAUCAGGCAUCUUUAUACCUGUGGUCUUAGGAGGCCAGUACCUGAGGACUUGCAGCCAGGGCAUGACUGACAUCUAGUGUUAGUGAGGACAGCGUGGAUGGGUGUGUCAACCCAGCUGUCUGGAGGCUGAUUGGCAGGUGUCAGUCACAUCUUAGGUUUUGAUGCAGCAGUUGCCAUGUGACAGCAUAGAGUAGCUGAUGAUAGGGAAUCGGUCAAAUAUGUGGUGGUCUUGCCAUCAAUGGGAGGCCCCUGCUUAGGAUGAGGGAGGCGGGCAGGAUGUUUUGCGAUCCAGAAAGCCUUUGUGACUUACUGAACAUGUGGAAAUCAAAAUCAUUGAUCUCUUGGAGGUAGAGUAGAAGGUGCUUCCCAGAGGCUAGGAAGGGAGGGGAAGGAGUGGGAGAGAGGAUGGUUCAAGGGUAGAGGGGUAAAGUUGAUAGGAUUGACUCCUAAAGACCCACAGCACAGUAGGCUAAGAUUGACAGCAGCUAAUUGCAUAUUUCAGAGUAGCUGGUAGGAUUUUGAGUGUUCCUAACAAAAAGAUACGGGUACAGAAAGUACCCAGAUGUGACCAUUACACGUUGUAUACUGUACAUGUGUUAAAAUAUGCACUAUACACAAUCACAGUGUGUCAAUUAAAAAUGUACCUCUGAAAAAGA